rnacentral:rRNA from 1 species
GUGGGGAAUAUUGGACAAUGGGCGAAAGCCUGAUCCAGCAAUGCCGCGUGAACGAUGAAGGCCUUCGGGUUGUAAAGUUCUUUAGCCGAUGAUUAUAAUGACUGUAGUCGGAAAAUAAGCCCCGGCUAACUUCGUGCCAGCAGCCGCGGUAAUACGAAGGGGGCGAGCGUUAUUCGGAAUCACUGGGCGUAAAGCGUGCGUAGGCGGUUUUGUAAGUUAGGAGUGAAAGCCCAGGGCUCAACCUUGGAAUUGCUCUUAAAACUGCAAGGCUCGAAUCUCGGAGAGGAUAGCGGAAUUUCCAGUGUAGCAGUGAAAUGCGUAGAUAUUGGAAGGAACACCAGUGGCGUAAGCGGCUAUCUGGACGAGUAUUGACGCUGAGGCACGAAAGCGUGGGGAUCAAACAGGAUUAGAUACCCUUGUAGUCC